rnacentral:rRNA from 1 species
AACGAACGCUGGCGGCAUGCCUAACACAUGCAAGUCGAACGAGACCUUCGGGUCUAGUGGCGCACGGGUGCGUAACGCGUGGGAACCUGCCCGUAGGUUCGGAAUAACUCCCCGAAAGGGGUGCUAAUACAGGAUAAUGUAAUAGGACAAAGGAGUUAUUGCCUUUGGAUGGGCCCGCGUUGGAUUAGCUAGUUGGUAGGGUAAAAGCCUACCAAGGGGACGAUGCAUAGCUGGUCGGGGAGGAUGCUCAGCCACACUUGGACUGAGACACGGCCCAGACUCCUACGGGAGGCAGCAGUGUGGUAUAUUGGACAAUGGGCGAAAGCCUGAUCCAGCAAUGCCGCGUGUGUGAUGAAGGCCUUAGUGUUGUAAAGCUCUUUUACCCGGGAUGAUAAUGACAGUACCGGGUGAAUAAGCUCCGGCUAACUCCGUG